GCCAAUGAUGAAUGAUGGGCGAUCUGACAGGUGAUGAGAGGGGAGAGGCUGAGG
rnacentral:snoRNA from 1 species